rnacentral:rRNA from 1 species
AAUGGAGUAAACUCUGAUGCAGCGACGCCGCGUGAGUGAAGAAGGUCUUCGGACCGUAAAACUCUGUCCUUGGUGAAGAUAAUGACGGUAGCCAAGGAGGAAGCCCCGGCUAACUACGUGCCAGCAGCCGCGGUAAUACGUAGGGGGCGAGCGUUGUCCGGAUUUACUGGGCGUAAAGGGUGAGUAGGCGGUUGCAUAUGUCAGAUGUAAAAGGCACAGGCUUAACUUGUGUUAGCAUUUGAAACUGUGCGACUUGAGUGCAGGAGAGGUAAGUGGAAUUCCUAGUGUAGCGGUGAGAUGCGUAGAUAUUAGGAGGAAUACCAGUAGCGAAGGCGGCUCUCUGGACUGUAACUGACACUGAGGCACGAAAGCGUGGGGAGCAAA